rnacentral:rRNA from 1 species
CCUACGGGAGGCAGCAGUUGGGAAUAUUGCACAAUGGGGGAAACGCUGAUGCAGCGACGUAGCGUGAGUGAAGAAUUCUUUCGGUAUGUAAAGCUCUAUCAGCAGGGAAGAAAAUGACGGUACGUGAGUAAGAAGCCCCGGCUAACUACGUGCCAGCAGCCGCGGUAAUACGUAGGGAGCAAGCGUUAUCCGGAUUUACUGGGUGUAAAGGGAGCGUAGACGGCAGUACAAGACUGGAGUGAAAUUGCGUGGCUUAACCCCGGAACUGCUUUGGAAACUGUGCAGCUUGAGUGCAGGGGAGGUAAGUGGAAUUCCUAGUGUAGCGGUGAAAUGCGUAGAUAUUAGGAAGAACACCAGUGGCGAAGGCGGCUUACUGGACUGUAACUGACGUUGAGGCUCGAAAGCGUGGGUAGCGAACAGGAUUAGAUACCCGAGUAGUC